rnacentral:rRNA from 1 species
AUUGAACGCUGGCGGCAUGCCUUACACAUGCAAGUCGAACGGCAGCACGGGAGCAAUCCUGGUGGCGAGUGGCGAACGGGUGAGUAAUAUAUCGGAACGUGGCCCAGUCUGGGGGAUAACGUAGCGAAAGCUACGCUAAUACCGCAUACUAUCUAUGGAUGAAAGCGGGGGAUCGCAAGACCUCGCGCGAUUGGAGCGGCCGAUAUCAGAUUAGGUAGUUGGUGAGGUAAAGGCUCACCAAGCCGACGAUCUGUAGCUGGUCUGAGAGGACGGACCAGCCAC